rnacentral:rRNA from 1 species
UACAGAGGUCUCGAGCGUUAGGCGGAAUCACUGGGCUUAAAGCGUGUGUAGGCGGAUUGCUAAGUACCUUGUGAAAUCCCACGGCUUAACCGUGGAACUGCUUGGUAUACUGGCUGUCUUGAGCCACUUAGGGGCGACCGGAACAAACGGUGGAGCGGUGAAAUGCGUAGAUAUCGUUUGGAACGCCAAAGGUGAAAGCAGGUCGCUGGGAGUGUGCUGACGCUGAGACACGAAAGCCAGGGGAGCAAACGGG